UCAUAUUCUUGGUUGAUUGUUCUACCUCUACUUCCUGAAAUGUCGGUUAUUGGGUUUGCUCAUCUUCUCUGAACCUGAAGUGUUCUGCCAGUCACAUUAGCUUACACUCACUGAGUUUUCCCUCCAUUCCCCUCUUCUCCACGCAGAUUGCAUCUCACUGUGGACCAGUAACAUGGAACUUGUGAAGAGGCUUCAGUGGGGUGGGGCUGGGUGAGGUUGUCAUGGGAAGAGUUUCACACCCAGGCAUGGAUGGAGGUGGGAAGUGGGCCCUGUGCUGUCAGGAAGAUUGGCAGCAGGGAUUGUUUAGGGAAGCACAUUUGGAUGCCCUUUCUAUUCUCUGUAGACCAGCAUUAAGGAAACCGCACAUAAAAGUGAUGUAUUAAUGUGCACAAAAACCCAGAAACUCUGGAAAAGGAAGACUGAUAAGGGGAAACCAACUCUUUUUGAUUUAUAAUGCAUUCAAAAGUAAACAAGUAAAUCAGUGUGUUUCUGGCUUCAAAAUAUUAAUGAUAUGGAAUAGAAUGGAAAGCUCAGAAAUAGACAUCAGGAUAGAAGGUGUUUUGCUCCAUAAUCUGUUUUAAGAUAUGGAAUCAACCUAAAUGUUUAGCAAUAAGAGGUUCUUCAAAUCAUUCACAGCACAUCAUCCCCUAGAGACCAAGGUGUUGUUUCAGAGACUCGUGCACCAGCUGUUUAGGUAAAAAUGAUUAUAAUUUAGCCAAGAUGUAGGAGCACAACUUUCUUUGUUAUCAGAAGGGACGGAGCCAAAUUCUUGUUCCACUAAUUGUGAUUAAAUAUUAUAUUUCUUUUAUUUUAAAUACCACAUGAUGUGUGUAUUUGUUGUAAAGCUGCAAACAAUGAUGCUGCUUAGAAAGUAACAUCUCCUUUCCUGUCAUGGCCACCAUCAUCGCUCUUCAUCUCCGUCAGGAACCACUCUUGUUGGUUCUCUCCUGUGUAAGCCUUUUAAGAGUACGUUUACACAAUGUUAUGUGACGUAGAAAAAAUUCUUCCGUGAAUGUUUUAUUGUGAUAUUUUAUUCUACAAUUUUUACAAUUUCACAUGCCAUAUGUCUUGGGGUAUUUUUCAUGUUAGCAAACACAGAAAUAGGUUGCUUUUUAAUGUUCUUUUUAUAUUUUGAAAAUCUGGAAAUAAUGGUUACCCUUUAUGUAUAUUUCCACUUUCCAACUACUUGUGAGUCUAAGUGGUUUUUCAUUAUCUUGUGGACAUGUACAUAUAAAAUGGAGUUCAUACUUUGCUCAGUUUUCCUUUAAUGUACUUUUAGGAGCUGCUUUGUAUUCUAUAGUUUAAUUCUUUACAUAAGCCCUGGAGUAUAUUUUAGUUUAGAAAUUUUUUUGUGUGCAAUGCCAUUCUGACACUAGCUACCCAGAUUUAGUGUGGAUUUCCCAGGUUGAGUUUACCGUCUUCCACAAGACUGCCCUCACUUCAGACACCAGCCCUAAGUGCAGGGAUUCCCACUUCUGACCAACUGCCUAAAAUUCAGGGAUACCCCUCUGUCUUCUCAGGUUCGAUAAUUUUCUAGAGUGACCCACAGAACUCAGUAAAGCACUACACAUAGGAUUACAGUUUUAUUAUAGAAAAAGGAUACAAAAAAGAACCAGUCAAAAGAAGAGAAGCAUGAGGCAAGGCCCAGAGGGUAUCACGUGCAAAGCUUCCAGUGUCCUCUCCCUACGGAGUCAGGAUGUGUCACCGUGUGAGCACAAUGAUGUAUAUUACCAACCUGGAAACCUCACCUGAGCCUCAGUGUCCAGAGUUUUUAUUCGAGUUUGAUUAUGUAGGCAUGGUUGACCGACUCAUUGGCUGUGUGGUUCACACCAGUCUCCAGCCCUGCCUCCCCUCCUCAGAGGUUGGACUGAUAUCACCUAGCUCAAAGUCCUAACCCUAAAAUCACAACGUUGGUCUUUCUUUUCCAGUUUGGAACCCCCCACCCUAAGAAUACAGAUUUGGCCUCCCUACCCCAAGCCAUCUCCUCAGCAUACACUGUCAGAAUCCUGUAAGAAGUGAGUGGCAGGAGCCCUGGUCUGCUUCUUGGUCUCCCCUGACCUUUACUGGAAAUUCAACAUGAAUUUUAAGUAUCUAGUAUUUCUUCAAGGAUCAACUUCUAUGAUAAAUCUUUUCUUUCCAUUUUAGUCUUUUAAAUUAAUUUAUUACAUUAAUAAAUAUUUUUAUUUUGAAUCAUUAUUUUAGUAGUUUUUUUUAGUGUUUUUAUCAUGUUAAUGUUUAUUAAUUAGUGUUUUGUUAGUUACAAAAAUAUGAAAUUCAACACUUCCAGAAACUGGAAGUCAGCAGAACCCAGAAGAGAAAGGACAUCAGCAUGUGACAUGAGGCAAGGAUGCAAGCCAAGGAACCCUAAGGAUCACUGGAAGCCAGCAUUGGAAUGCAAGAGUCGAGGAGAAAGCAAGCCUUGCCAUUAUCUUGAUUUUAGACUAAAUCUGUGCCAAUAAAUUCCUGUUGUUUAAGCCAA